rnacentral:ncRNA from 1 species
GCAAAAGCGUCGACGGAGACUAGUAAGCGAACCAGCAGCUUGCCAGGGAGAAACUGCCAUGGACUGAAAGCAGUUUUAAAGCAUGCCUCGCCGAAUUCACUCCUGAGCUGUCCUUUGAACGGUUUCGAUGCCCAGUAGAAGGAAAACCGGGUCAUUCCCGUUACCAAUGAACAAAGUGAGGCAUGCAAGUAAAAGGGCUCUUGACUUUUUUUCCUUUACACGCUUGUCUAAUCAGGGUGGUACCGCGAGCAACUCGUCCCUUUU